rnacentral:rRNA from 1 species
GAUCAUGGCUCAGAUUGAACGCUGGCGGCAGGCCUAACACAUGCAAGUCGAACGGUAAUAGGAAGAGCUUGCUUCUUUGCUGACGAGUGGCGGACGGGUGAGUAAUGUCUGGGAAACUGCCUGAUGGAGGGGGAUAACUACUGGAAACGAUAGCUAAUACCGCAUAACGUCGCAAGACCAAAAGGGGGACCUUCGGGCCUCUUGCCAUCGGAUGUGCCCAGAUGGGAUUAGCUAGUAGGUGGGGUAACGGCUCACCUAGGCGACGAUCCCUAGCUGGUCUGAGAGGAUGACCAGCCACACUGGAACUGAGACACGGUCCAGACUCCUACGGGAGGCAGCAGUGGGGAAUAUUGCACAAUGGGCGCAAGCCUGAUGCAGCCAUGCCGCGUGUAUGAAGAAGGCCUUCGGGUUGUAAAGUACUUUCAGCGGGGAGGAAGGGAGUAAAGUUAAUACCUUUGCUCAUUGACGUUACCCGCAGAAGAAGCACCGGCUAACUCCGUG